rnacentral:rRNA from 1 species
ACAUCCAGCGAACUUGGCAGAGAUGCCUUGGUGCCUUCGGGAACGCUGAGACAGGUGCUGCAUGGCUGUCGUCAGCUCGUGUUGUGAAAUGUUCGGGUUAAGUCCCGNAACGAGCGCAACCCUUAUCCUUUGUUGCCAGCGAUUCGGUCGGGAACUCAAAGGAGACUGCCGGUGAUAAACCGGAGGAAGGUGGGGAUGACGUCAAGUCAUCAUGGCCCUUACGAGUAGGGCUACACACGUGCUACAAUGGCGCAUACAAAGAGAAGCGACCUCGCGAGAGCAAGCGGACCUCAUAAAGUGCGUCGUAGUCCGGAUCGGAGUCUGCAACUCGACUCCGUGAAGUCGGAAUCGCUAGUAAUCGUGGAUCAGAAUGCCACGGUGAAUACGUUCCCGGGCCUUGUACACACCGCCCGUCACACCAUGGGAGUGGGUUGCAAAAGAAGUAGGUAGCUUAACCUCCGGGAGGGCGCUUACCACUUUGUGAUUCAUGACUGGGGUGAAGUCGUAACAAGGUAAGCGUAGCGAG